ensembl:lncRNA
CGUUUCAUGAUGGGGACUUAACAAACAACAAAAAAUCACCCCAGACACGACCGCUGCUCUGAAGGAACCGCGAGAUGAAGACCUGGGCGAGCAGGCGUAGCACUGUUAUCUUCUAGGUCCUGGUGGUCCGCAGGGGUAGGCUGUAGGUCCUGGUGGUCUGUAUGGGUAGGCUGUAGGUCCGUGUGGGUAGGCUGUAGGUCCUGCGGGUGGUCUGUGUGGGUAGGCUGUAGGUCUUGGUGGUCCGUGUGGGUAGGCUGUAGGUUCUGGUGGUCCGUGUGGGUAGGCAGGAUUCAUUCUUUUUCUGUGUCUUAUCAGACCAUAAAUCCACAACAGCCUAUUAGUACUUUUAUGAUCCACUUUCGAGACGCUUCAAGCUAGGAUCGUUCAAGCUGUGAUUAAGCUAGAUUGUCUUUUUCUUACGUCUCAACGUCGCUUGGUCGUCGUUGCUUUUAUUUUUUAUUAUGUGUAUCAGAAACAUGAAUGAAAAUAGCCUCCAG